rnacentral:rRNA from 1 species
GCCCUUAGUUUGAUCCUGGCUCAGAACAAACGCUGGCGGCGUGCCUAACACAUGCAAGUCGUACGAGAAAGGGUCCUUCGGGACCUGAGUAAAGUGGCGCACGGGUGAGUAACGCGUGGAUAAUCUGCCCUUCAGUUGGGAACAACUCAUCGAAAGGUGGGCUAAUACCGAAUAACGCUGUGAGACUUUGGUCGAUCAGCCAAAGAUGGCCUCUGCUUGCAUGCUAUCGCUGAGGGAUGAGUCCGCGUACCAUUAGCUAGUUGGUAGGGUAAUGGCCUACCAAGGCGACGAUGGUUAGCUGGUCUGAGAGGAUGAUCAGCCACACUGGAACUGAGACACGGUCCAGACUCCUACGGGAGGCAGCAGUGAGGAAUCUUGCGCAAUGGGGGCAACCCUGACGCAGCAACGCCGCGUGAGUGAGGAAGGUCUUCGGAUCGUAAAGCUCUGUCGGAUGGAAAGAACCGC